rnacentral:rRNA from 1 species
CCUACGGGAGGCAGCAGUGAGGAAUAUUGGUCAAUGGACGAGAGUCUGAACCAGCCAAGUAGCGUGAAGGAUGACUGCCCUAUGGGUUGUAAACUUCUUUUAUAAGGGAAUAAAACGAGGCACGUGUGCCUUUUUGCAUGUACUUUAUGAAUAAGGAUCGGCUAACUCCGUGCCAGCAGCCGCGGUAAUACGGAGGAUCCGAGCGUUAUCCGGAUUUGUUGGGUUUAAAGGGAGCGUAGAUGGGUUGUUAAGUCAGUGGUGAAAGUUUGCGGCUCAACCGUAAAAUUGCAAUUGAUACUGGCAGUCUUGAGUACAUUUGAGGUAGGCGGAAUUCGUGGUGUAGCGGUGAAAUGCUUAGAUAUCACGAAGAACCCCGAUUGCGAAGGCAGCUUACUAAACUGUGACUGACAUUGAUGCUCGAAAGUGUGGGUAUCAAACAGGAUUAGAUACCCGAGUAGUC